rnacentral:rRNA from 1 species
GCCAGCGGCGAUAGCACGUUGAAUGCACCAGUUCUCAAUGAAUCACUGAAGUUAAGCAACGUUGCGCGUGGUUGGUAUCCGGAUGGGUGACCUUCUGGGCCAUCGCAUGCUGCUCGCA